rnacentral:rRNA from 1 species
AACGAACGCUGGCGGCAGGCCUAACACAUGCAAGUCGAACGCUGUGGCAAUACAGAGUGGCAGACGGGUGAGUAACGCGUGGGAACAUGCCCUUCGGUUCGGAAUAACUCAGGGAAACUUGAGCUAAUACCGGAUACGCCCUUCGGGGGUAAGAUUUAUUGCCGAAGGAUUGGCCGGCGUCCGAUUAGCUAGUUGGUGAGGUAAUGGCUCACCAAGGCGACGAUCGGUAGCUGGUCUGAGAGGAUGAUCAGCCACACUGGGACUGAGACACGGCCCAGACUCCUACGGGAGGCAGCAGUGGGGAAUAUUGGACAAUGGGCGCAAGCCUGAUCCAGCCAUGCCGCGUGAGUGAUGAAGGCCCUAGGGUUGUAAAGCUCUUUCGCCAGGGACGAUAAUGACGGUACCUGGAUAAGAAGCCCCGGCUAACUUCGUGCCAGCAGCCGCCGUAAAAC